rnacentral:rRNA from 1 species
CAGCUUGCUGUUGAUGGAUGAGUGACGAACGAGUGAGUAACACGUGAGUAACCUGCCCCUGAUUUCGGGAUAAGCGUGGGAAACUGGGUCUAAUACCGGAUAUGAUCAAUCCAUGCAUGAGUGUUGGUGGAAAGUUUUUCGAUCGGGGAUGGGCUCGCGGCCUAUCAGCUUGUUGUUGGGGUAAUGGCUUACCAAGGCGACGACGGGUAGCCGCCCUGAGAGGGCGACCGGCCCCACUGGGACUGAGACACGGCCCAGAUUCUUACGGGAGCCACCAGUGGGGAAUAUUGCCCAAUGGGGGAAACCCUGAUGCAGCGACGCAGCGUGCGGGAUGACGCCCUUCGGGUUGUAAACCGCUUUCACCAGGGAAGAAGGGAAAGUGACGGUACCUGCAGAAGAAGUACCGGCUAAUUACGUGCCACCAGCCGCGGUAAUACGUAGGGUCCGAGCGUUUUCCGGAAUUAUUGGGCGUAAAGAGUUGGUAGGUGGUUGGUCACUUUUGCUGUGGAAACGCAACGCUUAACGUUGCGCGUGCAGUGGGUACGGGCUGACUAGAGUGCAGUAGGGGAGUCUGGAAUUCCUGGUGUAGCGGUGAAAUGCGCAGAUAUCAGGAGGAACACCGGUGGCGAAGGCGGGACUCUGGGCUGUAACUGACACUGAGGAGCGAAAGCAUGGGGAGCGAACAGGAUUAGAUACCCUGGUAGUCCAUGCCGUAAACGUUGGGCACUAGGUGUGGGGGACAUUCCACGUUUUCCGCGCCGUAGCUAACGCAUUAAGUGCCCCGCCUGGGGAGUACGGUCGCAAGGCUAAAACUCAAAGGAAUUGACGG